AGUGAACGCUGGCGGCAGGCCUAACACAUGCAAGUCGAACGGAAGCACAGUGCUUGCUUGUGCUUACGGCGGGGGACGGGCGGGUGAGGCCGGGAAAUAUGCGUGUCAGCGGUUUAGAACGGCAUAACGUAGGCGCAAAUACGGCAAUACCGCUGACGGCGUACGUGUGGGAGCAUCGGAUCUUACGCCAUCAGACGAUCCUAUGUGGCGAUGUCGGAUUAGCUAGUUGGCGGGGUAAAGGCCCACCAAGGCGACGAUCCGUAGCUGGUCUGAGAGGAUGAUCAGCCACACUGGAACUGAGACACGGUCCAGACUCCUACGGGAGGCAGCAGUGGGGAAUAUUGGACAAUGGGCGCAAGCCUGAUCCAGCCAUGCCGCGUGUGUGAAGAAGGUCUUCGGAUUGUAAAGCCCUUUAGGUGGGGAGGAAGGGCAGUAAGUUAAUACCUUGCUGUUCUGACGGUACCAAAAGAAUAAGCACCGGCUAACUUCGUG
rnacentral:rRNA from 1 species